UCUCAGCUGUGGCUGUGGGGUGGUGACAUCGUGUUCCUGCCUGUGCUCCAGGGCAGCCAAAGCCCCAGCCCAGCCCCUGGGCCUUUCUGGGAGCCUGAGCUAUUGUAGUACUGGGGAUGGGGGUUUGGGUUUUUGUUUCCCUAAAAGUAGAACCAUUAGGGGGGAUCUCUUAUCUCACAGUUGUUGUUGUUUUGAUAUCUUAAUUAAUUACAACUUGAGAAGAAAAGCUUGUGUAACUUAGGAACUGACUUGCACUGGUUCCUCUGAAAGUGCCAAGGAGUUGUAGUGUCCACUGGAUUGUUUGUAUUGAAGCAGUUUGGUGUUUACAGAGGGAUAAUAACUCCUGUCAGCAGCAAGGUCCCGACUGAAGUGGCAGCUGCAGUUGUUCCUGUGGUGUGGGCCAGUGGAAUUCCAAGAAAAUGGACAAGGACAGAAGCUGUAAGAAUUACCCCUAAGCCAGAGUCUCUCCUGGCAGAAGAGCCCAGGCCUGAGCUGGCUGAGUGUUGGUGUGAGCCAGAGUGGGUGUCCCUGCCCUCGGGCCAGUCCCCAGAGCUGCCUUUGGCAUCCCCUGCUGAAGGGUGGGAGCUGCCCAGAGCCAGCAGCAUCCAGCUGGAGGAUCCAGGAGGAUGCAGCUCUGCUUUGCUGGGAGCUUGUCCAGGAGAUGGAAUUCCAGUGCUACAGUCUGGGUGGGUCAUGGUGCUCCCAAAAGGAGCCUUUGUGCCUUCAGGACAAGUUUUGGUGCCACUGGAGCUGCUGGGAGAAGCAUAGGGUUGGCAGUGAGAGGCCUGGAAUGAUGUUGCUGUGGCACAGAAGAAAUGAGCAGUGGUGGUACAAUUGGCUGGUUUCUCUGGAAUGUAAUGGUAAGAGCUGCAGGAGUGCCAGGUGUGUGUUCCAGUCCCCAGCAUUUGGUUUGCACUUGUCCUGGUCAGACACAGGUCCAACUUCCUCAGUCCUUAACCCAGUAGAGGGAGAAUUAAGGACUGGCAGUG